rnacentral:rRNA from 1 species
GUUGGACGGCAUCGUCCGGCGAUUAAAGAUUUAUCGGUACGGGAUGGGCAUGCGUAGGAUUAGCUAGUUGGCGGGGUAACGGCCCACCAAGGCUUCGAUCCUUAGGGGUUCUGAGAGGAAGGUCCCCCACACUGGCACUGAGAUACGGGCCAGACUCCUACGGGAGGCAGCAGUAGGGAAUAUUGGGCAAUGGUCGGAAGACUGACCCAGCCAUGCCGCGUGCAGGAAGAAGGCCUUAUGGGUUGUAAACUGCUUUUAUCUGGGAAGAAAAAGUCCCUGCGGGGAAAAUUGCCGGUACCAGAUGAAUAAGCACCGGCUAACUCCGUGCCAGCAGCCGCGGUAAUACGGAG